rnacentral:rRNA from 1 species
GAUCAUGGCUCAGGACGAACGCUGGCGGCGUGCCUAACACAUGCAAGUCGAGCGAAUGAAGUUCCUUCGGGAAUGGAUUUAGCGGCGGACGGGUGAGUAACACGUGGGCAACCUGCCGUCAUAGAGGGGAAUAGCCCUUCCGAAAGGGUAGAUUAAGUACCGCAUAAGAUUGUAGUACCGCAUGAUACAGCAAUUAAGGAGCAAUCCGCUAUGAGAUGGGCCCGCGGUCGCAUUAGCUAG